rnacentral:rRNA from 1 species
UACAGAGACUGCAAGCGUUAUUCGGAUUCACUGGGCGUAAAGGGUGCGCAGGCGGCCAAGUGUGUCAGGUGUGAAAUCCCGAGCUUAACCUCGGAACUGCGCCUGAAACUACUUGGCUAGAGUACUGGAGAGGGUAACGGAAUUCACGGUGUAGCAGUGAAAUGCGUAGAUAUCGUGAGGAACACCAGAGGCGAAGGCGGUUACCUGGACAGUUACUGACGCUCAGGCACGAAAGCGUGGGGAGCAAAAAGGG